GUGCUCACUUUGGCAGCACAUAUACUAAAAUUGGAAAGAUACAGAGAAGAUUGACAUGGCCCCUGCACAAGGAUGACAUGCAAAUUCAUGAAACAUUCUGUAUUUUU
rnacentral:snRNA from 1 species